AUCCAACUGACGAAUCUCAAAUGGGACGAAACGCGCGUCCUGAAG
rnacentral:hammerhead_ribozyme from 1 species